rnacentral:tRNA from 1 species
CGGGGUGUAGCUCAGCCCGGUUAGAGCGCUACGUUCGGGACGUAGAGGCCGGUGGUUCGAAUCCACUCACCCCGACCA